rnacentral:rRNA from 1 species
UACGUAGGGGGCAAGCGUUGUCCGGAAUCAUUGGGCGUAAAGCGCGCGUAGGCGGUCCGGUAAGUCCGCUGUGAAAGUCGGGGGGCUCAACCCUCGGAUGCCGGUGGAUACUGUCGGGCUUGAGUGCGGAAGAGGCGAGUGGAAUUCCUGGUGUAGCGGUGAAAUGCGCAGAUAUCAGGAGGAACACCAAUUGCGAAGGCAGCUCGCUGGGACGUAACUGACGCUGAUGCGCGAAAGCGUGGGGAGCAAACAGG